AGCGCAUCAGGGCAAACCAACGGAAACGUUGGGACGCAAAGCUACGGGUCUACGGGGACUUGACCUAGGAUCGCCGGGCUGCCGCU
rnacentral:ncRNA from 1 species